GUCCCCUUCGUCUAGAGGCCUAGGACAUCGCCCUUUCACGGCGGUAACAGGGGUUCGAAUCCCCUAGGGGACGCCA
rnacentral:tRNA from 58 species